CCUACGGGGGGCUGCAGUAGGGAAUAUUGCGCAAUGGAGGAAACUCUGACGCAGCGACGCCGCGUGAGCGAUGAAGGUUUUCGGAUCGUAAAGCUCUGUCCUUGGGGAAGAAGGUCUUCGGACUUGACGGUACCCAAGAAGAAAGCCCCGGCUAACUACGUGCCAGCAGCCGCGGUAAUACGUAGGGGGCAAGCGUUGUCCGGAAUUAUUGGGCGUAAAGGGUGCGUAGGCGGCCUUUUAAGUCAGAUGUGAAAGCCCGCGGCUUAACUGCGGGAUUGCAUUUGAAACUGGGAGGCUUGAGUAUCGGAGAGGGUAGUGGAAUUCCCAGUGUAGCGGUGAAAUGCGUAGAUAUUGGGAGGAACACCAGUGGCGAAGGCGACUGCCUGGACGAAAACUGACGCUGAGGCACGAAAGCUAGGGGAGCAAACAGGAUUAGAUACCCUAGUAGUC
rnacentral:rRNA from 2 species